GGCUCCAACCUCAACGCCUUCUGUCGCACCCUACACCUCCAUCAAACUUGUGUGUUUCCUUUUCCGGGAAACGCACUCUGCUGGACGUGAACAAGCAGCUGAUCCAUCUGCUGGGGGAUGAACUGGAAGACCUUGUUUGCAUUAGCAUGAUGUAGCAAACUGCCAAGUAGCCUCGGAGGAAACAUGCUUUACAUUCAUAUACAUACCUGUCCUUGACCCCAGAAAACAACAUCAAACACCUUCAAGUUAUUCUUGGGGACGUUUUAUUCUUCUGAUCCUCUGGAUUCAUGUUUUUGUUAACCCUCGCUCGGGCUUUUAUCUAUCUCUUGCCAACCUGGGCCUACAUUAACAGAAAUAUUUUCCCAUCGGUGGGCAACAAUGUUUUCAUAUUUUAUUCAGUCCCAUCCUUUUGCUACCUUUCUUGUCUAGUUUUGUUUAAAAAAAUACUAGUUUUUUCCGUCUUGUAAUAGUUUUGCAGAAAAAUAUAUCCAAAUAAUUCAAAUCAGAUUCUUAAUCCGCCUUCUCCAAUUUAUAAUCGUAAUAGCCUGUGAGUAUGCUAUGGGGGAAGGAAAGAAUGCUGUAGCCUUUAUUCUUAAAGUUCUCUAACUUUGAUAUUUUCAGUAAAUCCCUGGAGGUAUCUCUGCACUUUCUGCGUUAGUAUCUAAUGUUUCUCCCCCCAUUGACCAAUCACAAGUAAAAUGCUAGGACAGCCGUUUAUUCUACAACGAUCGCAGUGGGUUUCCUUGGGUGAGUAGGGCAUAUUGAGGUUUAAACCUCCAGGAUGCUGUUUAUAAAGCCACCACCUCAUUCCCUAAUGCCCUCCAAAAUGAGCACCUAUCCAUCUCACUCUGCACUCCCAACAGGUCAAACCAGGAAGACUUCGUUGAAAUAGACGUGGCAUUUAAAUUAAAAUGUUUCCCAAAGCAUCUUGGCAGACCUGUAACUGAUGAUGCCAGAAGCCCAAGGCCUGUGCCAGAUUUCUUUCUAUCCCCAUAAGUGCUUGUCACCCACAAGCCGCUGGUCACACGCCUGCUGAUGUUAUAGCUGUACUUCUUCAUCACACAAACAGCCAAACUGGAUAAAAAUGCUGACCUGCCUCCCAACCUACCUCCCAGGAUGGACGCAGACCAACAUUUGCAAGCGUUGAAGAACAGUAUGGAUGUUGAUCGAAAAGGCAGCAACUUGAACAGAAUGGAUGCUGACUGAAAAGGCAGUAUGGAUGCUGAUUGAAAGUGCAUCUCACAAGUUGACAAUUCUGAAGAAAAAGAAACAUGAAACAAUGAGAAGACAAAAUCUAAAUUGUGACCUCAUCAAGAAGAAAGCAAUCCAGCAACCAAAGACUGUGAUGGGGAAAACCAUUUACAAAUCCAGAAAGGGACACAUAGGCUUGGAGAAUUCUCCCAGCACCUUUUCCUGAGGUCACCUUACAAAGAGACAAAGAACACCUCAGAGGACACCAAUAAGCACUGCCAUCUUGGCGUGGCUUCAGCAGCUCAGUGGAGAGUCAGUAAGCAUUUAUUAUACACUCUAGGCUCUAUUUCAAGAGCUUAUCAAGCCUCACUUAACCUUCACACAAACCCUGAUAAAUAGCACUGCUACUUUCUCCAUUUUAUAGAUGAGAGGACUGAGGCUCAGGGAAGUGAAGCAGCUUGCCCAAGGCAAAAUCACAAGAAAAAACAAGUCAACCUCAAAUCCAAGCCUUCUGGCACUUUACUGUGCAUUUUAACCCUGUCCUUACUUGUGGCCUGGAGCCCUGGUGGCACAGUGAUUAAGAGCUAUGGCUACUGAAAACUAUAAAGUUCAUAAGAAGAAAAAAUACGAUCAACGCUAGAGGCCCUAAUACACGGCAUUA